CGGCAGGCCUAANACAUGCAAGUCCAGCGAGAAAACUCCUUCGGGAGUGAGUAGAGCGGCGGACGGGUGAGUAACGCGUAGGAAUCUACCUGGUAGUGGGGGACAACAGUUGGAAACAGCUGCUAAUACCGCAUACGCCCUAUGGGGGAAAGCGGGGGAUCCUCGGACCUCGCGCUAUCGGAUGAGCCUGCGUUGGAUUAGCUUGUUGGUGAGGUAAAGGCUCACCAAGGCGACGAUCCAUAGCUGGUCUGAGAGGAUGAUCAGCCACACCGGGACUGAGACACGGCCCGGACUCCUACGGGAGGCAGCAGUGGGGAAUAUUGCGCAAUGGGCGGAAGCCUGACGCAGCCAUGCCGCGUGUGUGAAGAAGGCCUUAGGGUUGUAAAGCACUUUCAAUUGGGAAGAAAAGCUCAUGGUUAAUAGCCAUGAGCCGUGACAUUACCUUUAGAAGAAGCACCGGCUAACUCCGUGCCAGCAGCCGCGGUAA
rnacentral:rRNA from 1 species